GCGAUAGUUUGACAUAAAAUAUACCAGGAUCAUGAUGAACACCGUGGAGAUAUCUUGUGUCGAUGAAACUAAUCCUCGAUUUCAGAUAAACGUUCAGUAAACAGCGAAACCAGAGCAUCACAGAGCCACUGAAGCUAACUUCCAUAAUGGCACCACGUUGCUAAGCAACUUCGACCUGCGAGCUUCGACAACUCCCCACUCUAGGAAAAAAAUAUGAAAACCAAGUGGAAAUUAAUCAACCGAGGAAUCAAUUAAUGUUCGAUUUUUCAUAAUGAUUUGUCAUCGACAAUUUGAAUCGAAUUCGAUGUAACAACCAUCCUUGAGGAAGAGAAUUGAAAUGAGAAACAAUUCAUAUUAGAACGACUAAUUUUAAUGUAACUACGAAAGUACAAAGAAGGUUGCAACAAUGAUCGAAUUUGAUGGAUGAGAAAAUAAGAAAUGAUCACUGUGAGCAUUAAAAAUUAAGUAAUGAUGAUAAAAAAUCUUGCUUAUAAACAAAAUACGUUACCACCAUCUACAAGACUCCGUGGCGCAACGGUAGCGCGUCUGACUCCAGAUCAGAAGGUUGCGUGUUCAAAUCACGUCGGGGUCAAAAGAGUAUUUUUUGGUGUUGCAAUUUUUUCCAGAUUUUCGAGAUUUCGAAAAGGUCAAAGGGAUUUGAUAUUGUUCAAGAGUCGUUUUAACUUUUUCCGAAAUAGAGUGAUAUACAGAGAGUCGAGCAUUUGCGAAUUAAUUACAACCAUCACGCGGUGUAUUCGCACACCAUUCUCUGAGUAUUACCCCAUAUACAUGGAUAAAAACCGGAAAUUGGGCAAGGGAUGCCGGAGAUUGGGGCACGCUUGCCGGAUGAAACCUCACGCCAGAUGAAGAAUUCCUUCAGCAGGGGUUUACAGUGAUAUACGCUAUAAUUCAUGAGCCUAUCAAGUGACAUUUAAAUCCCACGCGUUUCGUAUAUUUCAUAUCAUGUAGGCAUGUAAACUCAUUGUCAUUUCCUCAUUGUCAAAAGUUUGCUAACUAACUAAUUAAUUAAAUAGUUCUACAGGGAUGAAGGAUAAUAGCAAUUGGUUGGUUGGUUGGGUUGGGUGAAUGACAAGAAAUUAUUUUCUUUGUUAAUUUCAAUUUUCGUACCAAUAAUGACGUAUAUUUUUAUUGAUUUUUUUUAUUCCGUAGCACAGUGACCAGUUUAUUCAUGUUUUUUUACUCAUGCUCGCUUAUAUUUAUUCAUAAUUGUUUAAUCAAUGUUAUUACAACUAUACGAUUAUUAAUAUUAUUGUUAUAAUAAUAUUCUAAUUUUGGUCCACUUCUA